rnacentral:rRNA from 1 species
CCUACGGGAGGCAGCAGUGGGGAAUAUUGCACAAUGGGGGAAACCCUGAUGCAGCGACGCCGCGUGAGUGAAGAAGUAAUUCGUUAUGUAAAGCUCUAUCAGCAGGGAAGAAAAUGACGGUACCUGAGUAAGAAGCCCCGGCUAACUACGUGCCAGCAGCCGCGGUAAUACGUAGGGGGCAAGCGUUAUCCGGAUUUACUGGGUGUAAAGGGAGCGUAGACGGCAGUGCAAGUCUGGAGUGAAAGGCGGGGGGUCAACCCCCGGACUGCUCUGGAAACUGUACGGCUGGAGGGCAGGAGAAGUAAGUGGAAUUCCUGGUGUAGCGGUGAAAUGGGUAGAUAUUAGGAGGGACACCAGGGGCGAAGGCGGCUUACUGGACUGUAACUGACGUUGAGGCUCGAAAGCGUGGGGAGCAAACAGGAUUAGAUACCCCUGUAGUC